UUUCAGGACAGUGUGUGCUACUCCCUCCGUCUCAGGGGAGAACGACUGCCCUUCUCAUUGAAGCCACAGGAGUUCAAGGCCGACCACGGUAUUGCAGACGAACGUCGUUACAGAAUCACCCACCUACCAAGGACCAAGCGGCGUGGUAAACAGAGGCAGCAGCAACAGCAGCAGCAGGAGAAGCGACUGGUGCAGCAGGAGCAACAGCAGCAGCAGCAAAAGCAGCAGCAGGAGGAGCAACAGCAGCAGCAGCAAAAUCAGCAGUGGGAGAGGCUGCACUACUUGGAGAGAUGGACUUGGGAGGAGAUUCUAGACGGGAAAGGACCCUGGGCAGAGCCAGGAGAAUAUUGCAGCCCCAAGGCCGAGCUGGAGGCAGCAAAAGCAGAGAGGCGGCAUUAUGAGGAACUAGCACGGCAGAGCGGAUGGAAGCCCGAGAGUCACCCCCAAAAAUUUCUUGGGGGGGGGCACAGGGGGAGUGUGGCAGAGUCAGGAGUCAGACCUGAGCCAACUCCCCCCGUUUAUCGUGAGGAGCCAAGGAGGAGCUCAGAACCAGAGCUGGUGUUGGAGGUGAGCGAAGCAGAGACUGUGAAGGAGUUAAUGGGGAAAUUGGAGGAGAGUGAUAUGAGGGACUUGCUGGUUUGGUGCAUGAGGCACGACAUUCGCCCGACGGAGCGUGUCAGGGAUUUAAUGGCACCGGGGUCAGCUCUCCAUACUCAUCCUGAGGUGCGUGCGAGAGGUCUGGUGAAGACUGUGCCAGCCUCACGCACCAGGCCUCCUGUGCAUCUCCCUAGCCUUGCACGUCCUGUGCCAUCUCAGCACUACGGUGCUCCUAGCAGUGCUAACUGUGGCGGGCGUGGUGCUGGUCAGGCACCGUGUUAUGCAGUUGUGCGCACGGUGUCCCCAGUACGCGUGCUUAGCCCGGUGCGCUACAUCCCAGCUCCCCACAUCUGCCGGGCUAGGGUGAAGAUCCAGCCAGGGCGGUUGGUGCCAGCCCUGCUCUCAAGAUCUCCAGUACGCCUUCACGGUCCGGUCUAUCCGUCACCACCUCCACGCACCAGCCCUCCGGUGGCAGCCCCCCGUACCAGGCUGUCUCUCCGGCCCAUCCUUACAGGGGCUUCCUCCUCUCCAGCGCUGCCGGAGCCUCCCACCUGUCCGGCGCCUCUGCC
rnacentral:lncRNA from 13 species